rfam:Nicotiana attenuata strain TT chromosome 2, whole genome shotgun sequence.
GGGUGGAUGUCUGAGCGGUUGAAAGAGUCGGUCUUGAAAAUUGAAGUAUUUAUAGAGAUACCGGGGUUUCGAAUCCCUCUCCAUCCG